rnacentral:tRNA from 1 species
GGCUCUGUGGCGCAAUGGAUAGCGCAUUGGACUUCUAGAUCAAUGACGGGACGGAGUCAUUCAAAGGUUGUGGGUUCGAGUCCCACCAGAGUCG